UCUUAUGGGUGAGCAAAUAAAGUAGUUUAUUGAGAAGUGGAAUCUACUCCUGGUGAAGAUGCUGUGAA
rnacentral:pre_miRNA from 1 species